UGGGUUUACUGCUUGCAUGUAAAACAAUGACAUUUUAUUUUGAAACGACAAAAGGGAAGUUAAUGCGCCACCCUCGCAGGCUUUCAGCGCACUCAGUCUGAUACUAGCCUGCUGAAGAUGGAUGAAUGGAGAAACAUCAGCAGAGGAUACUACCACAGUGACCUUUCACUUGCCGCCAACCCGUGGGCAGACAGAAGCUCUGCAGCGAAGUUAAGACGCUCUACAGUGAAUUCCAGGGGAUCACCAAUAAAAAAUGUGCUUUUCCCCCAUUGCUUCACCCGGAAGGAAUACAACCCAGCCACUAAAUAUCUACAAAGAGAAGGAGGCUGGAAGUUUUGAUGGCAGAUGAGCAACAGGAUGAUUUGGAGGCAUGCCAGGAAGGUCCAGCAGCUUUGGUAGCAGUGGUCAUUGAGAAGCAAGUAACUGCAGGAAUGCCCUUUAAAACUCACCAUUUGUCAAUCAACCAUCUCACAGAUCUUGAACAGAUGUACUGUUGAUUUUGUUUGGCCUUAUUUAUGCUCACCAUAUGAGCUACCUUAAGAAGCUAAGUGGUUUCUUCGAGUUCAUCCACCUCUUUGAGGUUUUGUUGUGCAGUACUAUUAUAUAUAAGUACUAUUAUACAGCUACCUGAUAAUGAACAGUAAAGUUGUGUAAAAUAACAGAAAUUGUAUUUUUUUUUUUACAUUUCUACGUUGAUUUAAUUUACCAACUUUUAAUCAGGUUUGUACAGUAUAAAUCUGUAUUUUGAAUGUUGCGUAACUUUAUAAGAAAAGUGUAUCUGUAAAAAGACAUUAAAUAUUUGUAUUUUUAAUCAUAUAACUACCACUUCUUUUACUGUUGAUUGUCACUAAUUCUAUCAAAGUUUAGAAAUAUUUUUACAGUUUUAAACUUUAAUUUAACAUUUUCAACUAUUAAAUAAAAAAUAAAUAUUUGUAAAAAUACGAUACGCUUACAAGUGUAUUUUAAC
rnacentral:lncRNA from 1 species